rnacentral:rRNA from 1 species
UUAACCUACACUCCAACCACCCGGGAAUUACGAGCCCAAGCUUAAAACCCAAAGGACUUGACGGUGUCCUAUCCCCCUAGAGGAGCCUGUUCUAUAAUCGAUACCCCCCGAUCUACCUCACCGCUUCUUGACAUCAGUCUGUAUACCUCCGUCGCAAGCUUACCGUGUGAACGCACCCAGUAAGCUAAAAGAUUCAUCACCUACACGUCAGGUCAAGGUGCAACCUACGAAACGGAAAGAAAUGGGCUACAAUCUCUACUUUAGAACAAACGGAAAACUGUAUGAAAUACAGUUACUGAAGGCGGAUUUAGUAGUAAAAAGAAAAUAGAGUGUUCUUUUUAACCAGGCACUGGGACGCGUACACACCGCCCGUCACCCUCUUCAAACAAAUCAAAAAGUUAUUAACACCCCCCAAUCAUACAGAAGAGGCAAGUCGUAACAUGGUAAGUGUACUGGAAAGUGCGCUUGGAACAAAAUGUAGCUUAACUAAAAGCAUCUUGCUUACACCAAGAAUAUGCCUGCGAAAUCCUGACCAUUUUGAGCCUAACCUACAGCCCCCCCCCC